GGAGAGCUGGAGAAUGAACCAUGUGACCAGUGAUUCCAUCAAUCAUGCCUGUAUGAGGCCUCAUUAGGCCUCAAUAAAAAUUUUAGUACACCAAAGCUGAAGUGAGCCUCCUUGAUUGACAUUACUCCUUGAGUAUUGUCAUACUUUCAGGCUGGGAGGAUAACACAUCCUUAAGGAUGACAGAAGCGUUGCACUUGGAACCUUGACAGACGUUGCCCUGCGCAUUUCUUCUUUGGGCUGUAUCCUUUGACUGUAAUAAAACUGUCACUUCCAACAGGGAAGGCGAGUUUGAGUUUUUUCCCGCUUCAAAGAUGGUAGAGAGCAGUGUUCAGCCUGAGCCCCAUUCCUAGGGUGCUCUGCUCAAGUCCAUAGGAGUGCUGUGUGACCAUGCCUGGCACGGGGGAACCCCAGCUCCCAGCAGCCACUGAUCUCAGAAGACAGAGCAGAGACCAAAGGCCCAGCAAGAGCUGCACCUUCUGAGCCAAGUUCUUCCUUUCAGCCACACCCAUGCCUCUGACUACCAAAAGUUGUGGCUCCAAAAGGAUAUCAAAUGGCAUCUGGUCCCAGAUGAAGUAAGAAGGAUACUAACGAGAAGUCACCCUCAUUACAGCAGAACCAAUCAAUAGAAACAAUCUAGCCUGGCAGAAGAGAAAUAUGCAUAUAAAAGAGAGAAACAGCAACUCUACAAUAACUUAGAGAAAUGGCAAUUCUGCAAAUAAAAUAGAGGAAAAAAUACCACUAUGCAAAUAGAGAGAGAGAGAGAGAGAGAAAGAAAGAGAGAGAGAGUGAGAGAGCACAACCAACUUCUGUUGGUUGAACCUAACAGUUGGGUGCUCCCAUUAAAGCCAUAGUAAAAGAAUAGAAUCCUAUAAGAUCAAAGGAAGUGUAGGAGGAGACAACAGCUGACAAGAAUUUUCUACAAAGUUUAGGAAAAUGGAAAGCAGGUGGAUGAACAGUAGAUGGGGCAGAGCAAAGCAGAGAAGGCUGAAGCCUACAGCCCUGUGCCUUCUGUGCUGAAAGAGAAGUCCACCCUUGAUGUCAACAGCUGAUGGUAUAAUAAGGCUCAGGCCAGGCCCCAGGGACCAGUUAAGAUAAGGAAGAGAUGCUUACUAGAAAUAAGAUAAGUAUUAGAUUGGGAGCUGAUGAAGUGAAGAACCUGGAUUGAGUAGAAGUGGCAGAAUAGAGAAUCAAAAAAUGGGAGUGUUUAGAUUGAAUUGUGUCCCCUAAUAGAUAACUUGAAGUUCUAACCCCUGGUACCUGUGAAUACAACCUUAUUUGAACUUUGCCGAUGUCAUCAAGUUAAAAUGGGAUCCUACUGAAUUAAGGUAGGCCCUGAUCCAAUAACUGGUCUUCUUAUAAGAAAAGGGGAAUUUGGAAAUAGACACACAGGAAAGAAGGCCACCCACAUGAGGAGAGAGGUGAAGGCUAGAGAGAUGCAGCGGCAAGCCAGAGAACAUCAAGAAUUGCUAGCUACCACCAGAAGCUGGGAGAGGGGCAUGAAAAAGAUUUUCCCUCUAGCCCCUAAAGAAGGAACCAACCCUGCCAACAACACAUUGGUUUCUGACUUGUGGUUUCCAGAACUGUGAGAGAAUAUAUUUCUGCUGUUUUGAUCUACCAAGUUUGUGGUACUUUGUUUCAGCAGUCCUGGGAAACGAAUCAAGUAAGAGCAGAGAACAGGUAAAUGACAGUUGUUCUGUAAAACCCUCUGCUGAGACAAAUUCAAGCUGCCAGAAAAAAGGCCUUUGCCUGGCAUUGCCCUUGAGCUUGCUGCAAUGAACACCCUUAUGAGGAUGACUGGGUCUUUGUGGUCCAGAUCUUUCACUGGUGUUGUCUUAGAGCACCCAGUGAAAAGCAAAACCCACUUCUUUAAAGAAAACGUAUGAAUCAUGAAAAAAAAAAAAAAAAGAAAAAAAAAAUCUGCCCAACUUCUCCUCUCCUUGCCAAACACAGUUAUUGCUAAUGAGGAAGCAAUUUCACAACAGUUUUUCUAUUUUCCAUACAUCAUUUGUUCUUUGGUUAGGUCCACAGUACAUGACCUGCCGAUUUUAUUCUGCAGAUUCUGAAGGAAACAGACAGCACAACAACAACAAACUCUCUCAGUCCUCACCCAAAUGUUUCUUCUGAAAUUGGAUGCUGAUGGCCACCAAACACAUUUUUAAAAGACCAGCGCAGUUUGAAGAACAGCUCAGAAAGUCUGCCUUCACUGAAAACUCAUUCCCUGGGAGUUGCAAUGAGCAGACAGGCCACACCCAGAAUUCGCCUGAAGGGGAGGGCUGCAGCCAGGGCAGAGACCAGAUGUGUGGGCACAAAGGUAGGGACGCUGCCAUGUGAGGCUAAAAUAAAUUCCACGUAGUGUGCAGUGCAGGUGGUCUGGGAGGGGCGUAAAGCUGUCUUCCUGGAAUUAACAGCUUUUUACCUUUUUAGUCUCCUUUCCCAGGCUGCAGGAGCUAUUUUGCAAAGAUGAUUCCUUCAUUCUCCCUUUCAAAGGCUUCCUUCAGGGUCUCCUGGGAUGGGUCUUGCUGAUGUUCCCUAACACUGAAGUGUCAAGAGAACCUAUUGAUUAUAACAUGUAAUUAAUCUCCUCAAUUGAAUUACUUAGCUGCUUCAGCACAAUGUUUGGAUUCAACCAGAGCUGAAUUUUUGCCAGACUGGAAAUAGUUCUAAUUUUUGAUGGAUUCUGAUUCAUUUGCAGUUAACAAUGUUGACCACUGAUACAUGAUGAAAGGAAAUUAAGAAAUGGUUAUGCAGGUAGGAUUUGUCACUUUAGAUGAAAUUUACAAUUAAUAAUAGAUACUUUAUUUUACCCAUCCCAAAUUCAAUGGAUUCACUAACAGCUUUGGAAGACAAAAGAAAACAUGACCACAUUAAGUGCACUUAUCAGUAAAGAGAUGGGUCCUGACUUAACAUACACAAAAAUAUGAAAAAAUGUGUUAUUGGAUGCUGAGAAAUAGGGUAGGGAGCAUUUGUUUAAUCCUCAAAACAAAACAAAACAAAAAAACAAAAUCAAUGAAGUCCAUGAGGCCCCUGCUUUACAGACAUGGGACCUGAGGCUCAGAGAGAUGAAUGUUUUCAAGGUCACUCAGAUGGUAGGUGGUAGAGUUGAAAGUGACCCUAUAUUUACCUGAGUAGUUAAUGAAUUAGGAGGGCUGAAGCCAAGGGGCUAGUUGGCCAUGAUCUGGUUUCAAUGAUCAGCAGAGACCUGAUAGCCCUAUGUGGAACCUCCAAGACUCAAAUGCUGGUGGCGGAUUUUCCGCGUUCCCUUUCUGCACUGAGCAGGCUACCACAGAGAACUUCCAGAUUAUUUGUCAUUCCUUAGAACCACAGGAAAUCUGCUGAUUUUAGACAUACAAAAAGCUGCUAGCUGGUGUGUAACUUUCUGCAAAAUCAACACAGCAGAUGGCAUUAGCCAUCUGCUAAUGCCAAUCCAGAACCACAGGUUAUGCAUUUAAAUUACUGUGUCUUAUAGCAGGGGUGUCCAAUCUUUCGGCUUCUCUGGGCCACACUGGAAGAAGAAGAAUUGUCUUGGGCCACACAUAAAAUACACUAACACUAACAAUAGCUGAUGGGCUAAAAAACAAACGCAUAAUAUUUUCAGAAAGUUUAUGAAUUUGUCUUGGGCUGCAUUCAAAGCUGUCCUCGGCCAUAUGCAGCCCGCAGGCCGAGGGUUGGACAGGCUUGUCCUAUGGUCUUGAGUAGUCAUAAACUGGGGCUACUAAUUUAAAAAUAACAAAUCCGUCAACCCCAUUUAAUAACCCAGUUGAACUCAGAGAUGUUGCAUUGGAAUGACGUUCCCCUCAAUGGAUCCUGGAGGCGACACUAUGAUGUACUUACAAAUAAUGUCCAACUGCGUUUCAAAGACUAACCGUGGGUAACGACAUACUUCCCUGUGAAACACACCCUAAUAUUCUGUGAGUCUGGGGUCUUCCAUAAGACUGCUGUCUCUUUCAUAAACUCUGAGGUUCUUAGGUUAUUAUAAUGAAAGGAUGAGAAGCAGUGAUUGAAAGAGGAGAAUGAACUCCAUCAACUGCCCUCACUCUUAUCUGCAGUCUCAGCUUUUCAGAGAAAGCAUACUUAGAACUUCUAUUUUGCUUUCUAAAAUCAAACCAAGGUGGCUAGUAAAUACAUUUCAGCUCUUCCUGGAGCAUUUCUAGCCACCUAAAAAAAACGGACUGUGCUUUUUAACGAAAGGACCAAAAAACUGUUGAUGUUCUAAGUCACUGAUUCUUAACUUUGGCUGCACCGUAGAGAUACUUAGGAACUCUAAAAGCUACAAAUGCCAAGCCCCAUAUCCAGAGGUUUUGGUUUCAUUGAUCUGGGGUUCAGUCUGGGCAGCAGGAGUUUUGAAAGCUCCCCCUCUGAUUUGAGUCCAUUGCCAAGGCUAACAACUCUGCCUUUAGGCAGGAGGUCAGCCAGGUCCUUGACCUCCAUUGGCCACCAGUGGGAGCAAAGUGGCCAUUUUUUGCAAGUUUAAUUUGAUUUUAUUAUUACUCUAUUUACCAGUCUUCUUGUUGUUGUUGUUGUUGUUUUGAAACAGAGUCUCACUCUGGUGCCCAGGCUGGAGUACAAUGGUGUGAUCUUUGCUCACUGCAACCUCCACCUCCUGGGUUCAAGCGAUUCUCCUGCCUCAGCCUCCUGAGUAGCUGGGACUACAGGUGUGCACCACCACACCUGGCUAAUUUUUGUAUUUUUAGUAGAGACGAGGUUUUGCUGUGUUGACCGGGCUGGUCUCUACCUACUGACCUCAAGUGAUCUGCCCACCUCGGCUUCCCAAAGUGCUGGGAUUAUAGGCAUGAGCUACCGAGCCCCGACUAUUUACUGCAUUCUUAUAGUAAAAUUAUACUGGCUAUCACAGCAGCUUACGAAUAUCAAGUAGAAAUUGGAUAAUUUCAACUGCAAUCCCAUAUGUGUCAUUGGCCCAGUUGACCGAAUUCCAUAUGGGCCACCUACAGUCAUUUUGUAAAGCAUCGUAAAAUUUUAGUGCAGAAUUAAUUUACCUUCAAGAUCCAUAAUGAACAUUAGGUGGGUAUAAAAAUUAACUUCAGUCCGGGCGCGGUGGCUCAUGCCUGUAAUCCCAGCACUUUGGGAGGCCAAGACAGGCAGAUCACCUGAGGUCAGGAGUUCGAGACCAGCCUGGCCAACAUGGAGAAACCCCGUCUGUACUAAAAAUACAAAAAUUAGCCAGGCAUGGUGACACACACCUGUAGUCCCAGCUACUUGAGAGGUCGAGGCAGGAGAAUCACUUGAACCCGGGAGGUGAAGGUUGCAGUGAGCUGAGAUCGCACUACUGCACUCCAACCUGGUUGACAGAGUGAGACUCCAUCUCAAAAAAACAAACAAAACACAAAACAAAACAAAACCCAUUAACUUCAGAAGACUUAAGUGUACUUUAAAUUCUUGUCAAAAUUAACUCCAAGGACUUUGGGGAAAAAUAUAUAGUACAUUUUGGAUGAGACUCUCUUGAAAUCAGACUUUUCAAUUGCUCUUAAACCUCACUGAAUUUUCUAGAAAAUGUAUCAUUUAAAAAGAAGUGUAAAGUUCGUUUUUAGUCUGACAGUUCUUGACAAUAACAAAAACGGACCACCUGCUAUGUCUAGACAGUGUAAAAUAAUAAUUACAGAAAUUGUAGCAUGUUAUUAGGUUGGUGGAAAAGUAAUCACAGUUUUUUGUACCAACCGAAUUAUUUAAAACUCUGACCAAGAAAAGUAGCAAUUAAUGUUGAACUUUAAGCCUGCAACAGUAGGUUAAGCUCAGGCUUCACUAGGCUCUAGCAAUUGACCUAUGUAUGUGAAGGAAGAGAGUUUGUCCUUUUCUACAGAAAUAGCAAAGGAAAAAUAUUUCCCUCACCUUCUCUUCCAACCCUGUUGUUCUGGAAGAGGAUAUUGUCUCUGGUAGGGCCAGUAAGUAAUAAUUCCAGUUCAAUUUCUAACUUGAAAUUUUCUUAUUUUCCUGUUCAAGUUAGUAAGAUCAUCACUGCAUUUGAUUUUCAAAAUUUACUCUCUAAUUCCUUUAUACUAACGUGUGCACAAAUUAAAGAUCAUAGCAAGCUGCUUUACCUGCAUUUACAGUUGUUUCAAUCUUUUUUUUUUUUUUUUUUUUUUUGAGGCAGAGUCUCGCUCUUUCACCCAGGCUGGAGUGCAGUGGCGCGAUCUCGGCUCACUGCAGGCUCCGCCCCCUGGGGUUCACGCCAUUCUCCUGCCUCAGCCUCCCGCGUAGCUGGGUCUACAGGCACCCGCCACCUCGCCCGGCUAAUUUUUUGUAUUUUUAGUAGAGACGGGGUUUCACCGCGUUAGCCAGGAUGGUCUCCAUCUCCUGACCUGGUGAUCCGCCAGCCUCGGCCUCCCAAAGUGCUGGGAUUACAGGCGUGAGCCACCGCGCCCGGCCACAGUUGUUUCAAUCUUUAAUUUUUAUCCUUAUUUGCCCAUUUAUUACUUUAUAGGCUCACACCAUUUGCCGCCAACCCAGUUUUCUGGGUCAGAAACCCCAUAUUCUGUUGGCAAGCUUUGCUAAAGAAAUAGAAGUGGCUUACCACGUUUCUGUUGUUCUAAUUUUUCAUUCCGUAACUUGCAGCAGUGCAGAAUGGUAACCUCUAUGCAGGAGGUGGCCGAGAAACUAGCUAACUUCCUGAAAUGGAUCUAUUUACCAUCAGCAGAACCUAGCGUGUGUUUUGCAGAAGUUUACAUGAAAAGAAGGGAACUUGUGAUUUCUUAGCUCUUGCCAAAUCAUUAAUUGACUGUGCUUUAAAACUUUGAAACUGAAGUUGUGGGAAGAAGUCAUUUAUAAAAUGAUUUAAAUACAACCCAAAUCAGACACAUACGACGUAUUUUUGUUAGUUUUUGUGUAUUUGUGUGUACAGGGGAGAAAAAGGGAACAUUAUUCCAUUCACUAAGAAGACUUCAGUGUAUUCUUUUUUAAAAAGUUACCAUAAAUUUGUACUGAACU